AGUUUGAUCAUGGCUCAGAUUGAACGCUGGCGGCAUGCCUUACACAUGCAAGUCGAACGCGAAAGGGGGGCAACCCCCGAGUAGAGUGGCGAACGGGUGAGUAAUACAUCGGAACGUACCCAGUAGCGGGGGAUAACCUCUCGAAAGAGAGGCUAAUACCGCAUACGACCUACGGGUGAAAGAGGGGGAUCGCAAGACCUCUCACUAUUGGAGCGGCCGAUGUCGGAUUAGCUAGUUGGUGGGGUAAAAGCCUACCAAGGCCACGAUCCGUAGCUGGUCUGAGAGGACGGCCAGCCACACUGGAACUGAGACACGGUCCAGACUCCUACGGGAGGCAGCAGUGGGGAAUUUUGGACAAUGGGCGAAAGCCUGAUCCAGCCAUGCCGCGUGAGUGAAGAAGGCCUUCGGGUUGUAAAGCUCUUUCGGCUGGGACGAAAAGGUCCGUGCUAACACCACGGAUCCAUGACGGUACCAGCAGAAGAAGCACCGGCUAACUACGUGCCAGCAGCCGCGGUAAUACGUAGGGUGCAGGCGUUAAUCGGAAUUACUGGGCGUAAAGCGUGCGCAGGCGGUUUGCUAAGACAGGUGUGAAAUCCCCGGGCUUAACCUGGGAACUGCGCUUGUAACUGGCAAGCUUGAGUGUGGCAGAGGGGGGUGGAAUUCCCGUGUAGCAGUGAAAUGCGUAGAGAUGUGGAGGAACACCGAUGGCGAAGGCAGCCCCCUGGGGCUAACACUGACC
rnacentral:rRNA from 1 species